rnacentral:rRNA from 1 species
GAUGAACGCUGGCGGCGUGCCUAAUACAUGCAAGUCGAGCGAACAGACGAGGAGCUUGCUCCUCUGACGUUAGCGGCGGACGGGUGAGUAACACGUGGAUAACCUACCUAUAAGACUGGGAUAACUUCGGGAAACCGGAGCUAAUACCGGAUAAUAUAUUGAACCGCAUGGUUCAAUAGUGAAAGACGGUUUUGCUGUCACUUAUAGCUUGAUCCGCGCCGCAUUAGCUAGUUGGUAAGGUAACGGCUUACCAAGGCAACGAUGCGUAGCCGACCUGAGAGGGUGAUCGGCCACACGGGAACUGAGAAACGGUCGAGACUCCUACGGGAGGCAGCAGUAGGGAAUCUUACGCAAUGGGCGAAAGCUUGACGGAGCAACGCCGCGUGAGUGAUGAAGGUCUUCGGAUCGUAAAACUCUGUUAUUAGGGAAGAACAAAUGUGUAAGUAACUAUGCACGUAUUGACGGUACCUAAUCAGAAAGCCACGGCUAACUACGUG